rnacentral:rRNA from 1 species
UGGGGAAUAUUGGACAAUGGGCGAAAGCCUGAUCCAGCCAUGCCGCGUGUGUGAAGAAGGUCUUCGGAUUGUAAAGCACUUUAAGUUGGGAGGAAGGGCAUUAACCUAAUACGUUAGUGUUUUGACGUUACCGACAGAAUAAGCACCGGCUAACUCUGCGCCAGCAGCCGCGGUAAUACAGAGGGUGCAAGCGUUAAUCGGAAUUACUGGGCGUAAAGCGCGCGUAGGUGGUUUGUUAAGUUGGAUGUGAAAUCCCCGGGCUCAACCUGGGAACUGCAUUCAAAACUGACUGACUAGAGUAUGGUAGAGGGUGGUGGAAUUUCCUGUGUAGCGGUGAAAUGCGUAGAUAUAGGAAGGAACACCAGUGGCGAAGGCGACCACCUGGACUAAUACUGACACUGAGGUGCGAAAGCGUGGGGAGCAAACA